rnacentral:rRNA from 1 species
ACGGGGCCGCACAAGCGGUGGAGCAUUGUGGUUUAAUUCGAAGCAACGCGAAGAACCUUACCAGGUCUUGACAUCCCGAUGCUAUUUCUAGAGAUAGAAAGUUACUUCGGUACAUCGGUGACAGGUGGUGCGUGGUUGUCGUCAGCUCGUGUCGUGAGAUGUUGGGUUAAGUCCCGCAACGAGCGCAACCCCUAUUGUUAGUUGCCAUCAUUCAGUUGGGCACUCUAGCGAGACUGCCGGUAAUAAACCGGAGGAAGGUGGGGAUGACGUCAAAUCAUCAUGCCCCUUAUGACCUGGGCUACACACGUGCUACAAUGGUUGGUACAACGAGUUGCGAGUCGGUGACGGCGAGCUAAUCUCUUAAAGCCAAUCUCAGUUCGGAUUGUAGGCUGCAACUCGCCUACAUGAAGUCGGAAUCGCUAGUAAUCGCGGAUCAGCACGCCGCGGUGAAUACGUUCCCGGGCCUU